rnacentral:rRNA from 1 species
ACGCUGGCGGCACGCCUUAUACAUGCAAGUCGAACGAAGUAGCAAUACUUAGUGGCAGACGGGUGAGUAACAUGUGGGUAUCUUCCCUUUGGUGAGGAAUAACACGAGGAAACUUGUGCUAAUACCUCAUAAGUCUUUACGGAGAAAGCUUUAUGCGCCAAUGGAUGAGCCCGCACUUGAUUAGUUAGUUGGUGGGGUAAAGGCCUACCAAGACUUUGAUCAAUAGCUGAUCUGAGAGGAUGAUCAGCCACAUUGGGACUGAGACACGGCCCAAACUCCUACGGGAGGCAGCAGUAGGGAAUAUUGCACAAUGGAGGAAACUCUGAUGCAGCGAUGCCGCGUGAGUGAAGAAGGCCUUUGGGUUGUAAAGCUCUUUCGUCGGGGAAGAAAAUGACGGUACCCGAAUAAGAAGGUCCGGCUAACUUCGUGCCAGCAGCCGCGGUAAUACGAAGGGACCUAGCGUAGUUCGGAAUUACUGGGCUUAAAGAGUUCGUAGGUGGUUAAAAAAGUUGGUUGUGAAAUCCCGAAGCUUAACUUCGGAACUGCAAUCAAAACUUUUUAGCUAGAGUAUGAUAGAGGAAAGCAGAAUUUCUAGUGUAGAGGUGAAAUUCGUAGAUAUUAGAAAGAAUACCAAUUGCGAAGGCAGCUUUCUGGAUCAUUACUGACGCUGAGGAACGAAAGCAUGGGUAGCGAAGAGGAUUAGAUACCCUCGUAGUCCAUGCCGUAAACGAUGUGUGUUAGACGUUGGAAAUUUAUUUUCAGUGUCGCAGCGAAAGCAGUAAACACACCGCCUGGGGAGUACGACCGCAAGUAACUCAAAUUGAUGACGC